rnacentral:rRNA from 1 species
GACGAACGCUGGCGGCGUGCUUAACACAUGCAAGUCGAGCGGUAAGGCCCUUUCGGGGGUACGACGAGCGGCGAACGGGUAGGAGUAACACGUGGGUGACCUCGCCCUCCAGCUCUGGGAGUAAGCCUGGGAAACGUAGGGUCGUAAUACCGGAUAUGACUCCAUGACGCAUGUUGUGGGGUGGAAAGCCUUGUGCGGCUGAGGAUGGGCCCG